UGUGCAUGAGGUGACCUACGUGGGAGCUGUUUUCAACGGCAUCACCCUCCUCAUCCUCGCUGACAUCUUGGCCUUCACCGUCCCGCCCCUGUACGAGAAAUACGAGGUGCAGAUCAAUCACUACAUGGCCCUCGUCCGCCGCCAGACCAAGGACCUCAUGGCCAA